UACGUAGGGUGCAAGCGUUAAUCGGAAUUACUGGGCGUAAAGGGUGCGCAGGCGGUUCUGUAAGUCAGAUGUGAAAUCCCCGGGCUUAACCUGGGAACUGCGUUUGAAACUACAGGACUAGAGUGUGGCAGAGGGAGGUGGAAUUCCAUGUGUAGCAGUGAAAUGCGUAGAGAUAUGGAAGAACAUCGAUGGCGAAGGCAACCUCCUGGGUUAACACUGACGCUCAUGCACGAAAGCGUGGGGAGCAAACAGG
rnacentral:rRNA from 1 species